AAUACAUUGACAUAGCUAUUUAGAACUGAACAGCUACCAGCUCCUCUCUAAUCGCUAUGUUGAACACCCUCUUAAUUGUUGUUAAUGUUAGUCUAUGAACAGCAAUUCAAAUUUCAGUAUUACAUUUUUUUCAGGAACAACAUGUUGCAAAUGUUAUUUUUGCUAUCAUAUAUUUACAGCAGCAGUUUUUGUACUUCUAGCACAAAAAGAAAUAAUUGAUUGCUGAUUCUAAUAUUUCUUGUAGUAUACCUAAUUAAAACUAUGUGAUACUCUGCUUUUACAUUCUUCUAGCAUGGCUGUAUGCUCACCAAUAAUUUAUCAUCAAGAUAAGAUUUAAUGAGCCUCUUUUUAUGAUCAGCGAAAAGAAAAAGGUAUAUUUAUAACAGAAGUUAUUCUCAAGUGGAAAUUUAGAAUAUAAAUGACUCAGUGAAGCUUAUAGUUAAUUCCAUCAGAGAAACUUCUUGUAUAUUUCGUCAUUCCAUAUAGCCUUCUAGUUCAGGUGAUGAUGCGUGCUAAGCUUGAUAAAGAACUUGAAAAGAGUAACACUCGUGGGAGAGGUGAUGUUCUCCGGAAAGUUGGCUGGGGUUUGAAGUUUAUCGGGCCGGAGAAGAAAUCUCUGAAUACAAAACCAUCACCUCUGGCUGCUUCUAAGUCCAAGUUAAGGCCUUCGUCGGAGGCAAGGCCGAGGAAGCGUGCGCUGCUUAUUGGAGUCAGCUACAAGAAGCAGAAACAUGAGCUUAAGGGAACUAUUAAUGAUGUAAAGAAAAUGAAGAAUUGGUUGAUUCAUAACUUUGAUUUCAAGCAAGAAAACAUUCUCAUUCUCACAGAAGAUGAACCCGAACCCGAACUAAUUCCAACGAAGAAGAACAUUCAGAAUUGCAUGAAAUGGUUCAUGGAGAGCUGCCAGGCUCAUGACUCCUUGGUGUUCUACUUCUCCGGGCACGGCUUGCGGCAGCCGGAUUUCGACGGCGAUGAGCUUGAUGGGUUCGAUGAAACAAUUUGCCCGGUUGAUUUUAUGGAAGCUGGCAUGAUAUUCGACAAUGAAAUUUUUCUUACUAUUGUUCAGCCACUUCCUAAGGAUGCCAAACUCCAUGCAAUUGUUGAUGCUUGUCAUAGCGGAAGUAUACUUGAUCUAUCAUUUGUGUAUAACAGAGAAAGGAAGAUUUGGGAAUAUAACGUCCCUCCAUCUGUUCCUAUUAAACAAACAAAUGGUGGAUUGGCUAUUACGAUCAGUGCUUGUCGAGAUGAUCAAGUAGCUGCAGAUACUGAUUGCAGACUCAACAAUGAGUGGCGCUCUGACGUAUACUUUAACAAGUAUUAUGAAGGAUAGGCAAGAAAUAACAUAUGGUGACCUACUUGACACCAUCUACAGAAGCAUUGAGGCGGCGGACCAACAAGGAUGCCUUGCCUACAGGGUCUUAAAAAGAAUGCUCAAUGCCAGAUUAUUACAGAAACCUCAACUUUUAUCUUCCGAACCGUUUGACGUUUAUCAGACAUAUUUUGUUUUGUAACGAGUUCAUGCAAAGGAAUUAUUUGGGGAAACGAAGAUAUCGGAAUUACAUCAUCAGCAUAGAGAAAAAAAAAAAAAAAGGUGAUCAUCUCUAACAGAUCAGUCUACAAUAAUUUCUCGAAGCACUGCGUUGCAUAGUUAAAUGUAAUGUAACAUAUAUGCUGAAGAUUAUACAAAGAUAAUUAUUUUCUAAGUGUACCCAAGGAACAAAUAAAUAGAUCAGAUUGUGUCCUAUUGGUAAUAAUUAAUAAGUAAAUUAAUAAAAUAAUUUUUAUAUUUUUAUA